UGUCCUCAUAGCCUCCUGAAAUCGUCGCCGCGUCACUAUCCUCUCCACCUCCGCUACUCCGACGAAACUUCCACCCUACGUAUCGAGCUUCGGUCACGUGUCACAAAUCACAACCAACUUCUGCGGAGGGUGACACAAUCGGACGGGGAUAACAGUCAGUGCUGUAGCAUUUCGUAAGGGUUCUGAAGGAGGCACGAGGAAGGGAACGACAAGGGAAAGACAAGUUCAUAUCCCUGUGAUAAUGUGAGAUCCGUGAGGAUUUGGGGGUCGAUGAUUGGAUUCGGUGUUUGGAAGGAGGUGAUGUACUUGUCUUCUGUACAAUGUAAGGUUCCUCGCAGUGUUCUUUUGGAUCGCAAUUGCAGCAUCGUAAGAUUUGGAGCAAGGUUAUGUGACCGGUUCAUUAAGAUGUGGAUUCUGAUUUACAAGUCCGGUUCUUCUCCUUGAUAGCUUGAGAUGAUUUGCUUGCUUCUAUUAUUUCCAAAUGUUUCAACUAGAUGCUGGUGGUCUAAACCUUGGUGAAUCACAUUUUUGUUCCUUCUGUUGCUUUUGAAAUGCUGGUUAGAUUGGAAUAUGUGGACCCAAUUUGAUGUUGUUUUGAAGAUGUUAUUGGUUCCUUGUUGUUAA